AAAAAAGAAAAGAAAACGGUCCUUGAAGCCAAGCUGACUCUGCUGUGAGCCUUGCAAAGGAAGAGGUAGAUACAGCAGGUCUUGUUUGCAGAAUGAAUUCAAGACCUACUUGUCUACCAACAGCA
rnacentral:snoRNA from 1 species